ACCAUGCUAGCUUUGUCUUUAAUUAUAUGAACAUAACUAUUUUAGUGUAUGGAAUCAUUCAAAGUUGGUUUCUAUGUUGCUUGAGUUAGAUUACUCUUGAAUAUUCAGCAAUGAGAUGGAGCAUCCAAAUGAAGUGUCAACCUUUUCUUUAGAUCAGGUGAGUCGAGCCACAUGCACUGAGGCACCUUUGGUUUUCAUGGUUCGGAAAACAUGUCUUGCAAAGUCUAGACCACUGCAGAGCAUAUAUGGUUUUAAAUAUUUAAAUCCUUGUAAGAUUUUGUUUACAAUAUCCAUUAAGUUCUUGCAAAAUUAUUUUCUUCUAUUUUCUUUUGAUUGUUAAGUUUUUCUCCUGCAGGUGUUAUGACGGCUCUGGCAAUUGAGACAGAGUGUAAAUACUUCUGAACAGAUGCUGCGAGGAUCAAAGCAAGGGAGCCAUUGGAUACUCUGAAAAGAGGUCGUCUUCUAUCUUCUUCUUCCUCUGAAAACAGGCAAUUGGAGCGGUCGUCUGGAUGGUAAUCUAAUUGUGUUCUUGAAUACUUUGCAGCGCAUUUCCAAAACCUUUGAGGUUGAUAUCUGCCAGCAACAGUGAAAAGUUCUUGGUAUGUACUUUGGAGUGAAACAGAGGAAAAGGCACAUCGAUUGGAGCACUCGCAACGGGGAAGAGCUCGUCGCAAGCAGAGGUCGAAUUCUUUGCAAUGGCAAGCAGAGAUUCAUGUGGAGAAGAAUCAGACCCCUUUUCCCUUCUGCUAAUUAAUUUAUCUGACUUGUACGAACAUCGAUGGUGAUUUCCAUGAUAUGUUGUUGGAUUCUAAUAUCAUGAAACAUGAAAUGUCAAGCAAGCUAUAGGAAAGUCGAACGACUCCCUCAUAACGAUAAUAAUAAUAAU
rnacentral:lncRNA from 1 species